UACGUAGGUGGCAAGCGUUGUCCGGAAUUAUUUGGGCGUAAAGCGCGCGCAGGCGGUCCUUUAAGUCUGAUGUGAAAGCCCACGGCUCAACCGUGGAGGGUCAUUGGAAACUGGGGGGACUUGAGUGCAGGAGAGAAGAGUGGAAUUUCCACGUGUAGCGGUGAAAUGCGUAGAGAUGUGGAGGAACACCAGUGGCGAAGGCGACUCUUUUGGCCUGUAACUGACGCUGAGGCGCGAAAGCGUGGGGAGCAAACAGG
rnacentral:rRNA from 1 species